GACGAACGCUGGCGGCGUGCUUAACACAUGCAAGUCGUACGGUAAGGCCCUUUCGGGGGUACACGAGUGGCGAACGGGUGAGUAACACGUGAGUAACCUGCCCACAACUUUGGGAUAACGCUAGGAAACUGGUGCUAAUACUGGAUAUGUGCUCCUGCUGCAUGGUGGGGGUUGGAAAGCUCCGGCGGUUGUGGAUGGACUCGCGGCCUAUCAGCUUGUUGGUGGGGUAGUGGCCUACCAAGGCGGCGACGGGUAGCCGGCCUGAGAGGGUGACCGGCCACAUUGGGACUGAGAUACGGCCAAGACUCCUACGGGGGGCAGCAGUGGGGAAUAUUGAACAAUGGGCGAAAGCCGGAUGCAGCAACGCCGCGUGCGGAUGACGGCCUUCGGGUUGUAAACCGCUUUCAGCAGGGACGAAGCUUUUUGUGACGGUACCUGCAGAAGAAGCACCGGCUAACUACGUG
rnacentral:rRNA from 1 species